CGAAAUGCGAUAAGUAGUGUGAAUUGCAGAAUUCAGUGAAUCAUCGAAUCUUUGAACGCACAUUGCGCCUUCCGGUAUUCCGGGAGGCAUGCCUGUCCGAGCGUCAUCAAAAACCACUCAAGUAGUUUUGCUUGGUCAUGAGAGAAGAGUUUGCUUGCGAAUUCCCUUUCGAAAUUCAAUGGCGGAGAGUCCCAUGAUUCUGGCGUAGUAAUAACUUAUUCGCUUGGUCAUUGUAACAAUCCUGCCUCAAACCCCCAAUUCUAGUGUUUGACCUCGGAUCACGUAGGGAUACCCGGUGAACUUAAUCAUAUCAAUAACCGGAGGAAAAGAAACCAACAGGGAUUGCCUUAGUAACUGCGAGUGAAGCGGCAAAAGCUCAGAUUUGAAAUCUGGUACCUUCGGUGCCCGAAUUGUAAUUUGGAGGCAUAUCUUCGGGGCUGGCGCUGUCCUAAGUUCCUUGGAACAGGACGUCAUAGAGGGUGAGAAUCCCGUGCCUGGAUGGCUGACCAGCUCCAUGUGAAGUGUGUCCUACGAGUC
rnacentral:rRNA from 1 species